GAGAAACAUCAAUGAUGAGAGAGGAUCAUGGAUCAGCUGCUUCCUGCAAGCCCCACACUGGGGAUGGAGCCCACAACCCGGGCCUGUGCCCUGACAGGGAAUCGAACUGGGACCUCCUGGUUCAUAGGUCCGAAGCUCAGCCCUGAGCCCGUGUGCCUGGCAGGGGC